GGUAAGAUGGGUAAUGUAAGAUGGGUAAUGUAAGAUGGGUACGGUAAGAUGGGUACGGUAAGAUGGGUACGGUAAGAUGGGUAAGGUAAGAUGGGUAAGGUAAGAUGGGUAAGGUAAGAUGGGUAAGGUAAGAUGGGUAAGGUAAGAUGGGUAAGGUAAGAUGGGUCAAAAUGUCAGAUAUAUGCCAGAUUUGAUUAAUACUUUUAUUAUGCUUUAGAUACAAAAUGUAAAAAACCGUAAAAUAUGUCAAUAAUCCUUCCUCUAUGGAUACAAUUUCCACAAAAUCCCACAAAUGUGGUUCUUUUUUUGUCCUGGUUUCAUCUGGAAUCACUCACAGGUAGGUUUAUCCAGGUAUGUUUAUCCAGGUAUGUUUAUCCAGGUAUGUUUAUCCAGGUAUGUUUAUCCAGGUAUGUUUAUCCAGGUAGGUUUAUCCAGGUAGGUUUAUCCAGGUAGGUUUAUCCGGGUAGGUUUAUCCAGGUAGGUUUAUCCAGGUUGGCCCAUUCCAGGUAGGGUUAUCCAGGUAGGCCCAUUCCAGGUAGGCCCAUUCCAGGUAGGCCCAUUCCAGGUAGGCCCAUUCCAGGUAGGCCCAUUCCAGGUAGGUUUAUCCAGGUAGGCCCAUUCCAGGUAGGUUUAUCCAGGUAGGCCCAUUCCAGGUAGGUUUAUCCAGGUAGGCCCAUUCCAGGUAGGUUUAUCCAGGUAGGCCCAUUCCAGGUAGAUUUAUCCAGGUAGGCCCAUUCCAGGUAGAUUUAUCCAGGUAGGCCCAUUCCAGGUAGGUUUAUCCAGGUAGGCCGAUUCCAGGUAGGUUUAUCCAGGUAGGCCCAUUCCAGGUAGGUUUAUCCAGGUAGGCCCAUUCCAGGUAGGUUUAUCCAGGUAGGCCCAAUCCAGGUAGGUUUAUCCAGGUAGGCCCAAUCCAGGUAGGUUUAUCCAGGUAGGCCCAAUCCAGGUAGGUUUAUCCAGGUCGGCCCAAUCCAGGUAGGUUUAUCCAGGUCGGCCCAAUCCAGGCAGGUUUAU